GCUUCUCUCUGAUAGUAGGAUAUUUUAUUUUGGAUACUUUAUACCACUUAUGUUUAACUAUGAUGUUCAGAAUUAUAUGUUUAAAUUAUAUGUAUAUCCCAUUUUUUUGAAAGCAUGAAAUUUGUAAGCCAGUAAAAUGGUUAUUAGCCAUAACCAGCAAUCCAUAGUUGUGUAGUGUCUGCUCCUUUUGCUAUUUUGUCAUUUGUUUAUUUAUUUAUUUUUAUAAAGACAGGGUUUCACCAUGUUGAUCAGGCUGGUCUUGAACUCCUGACCUCAGAUGAUCAACCCACCUUGGCCUCCAAAGUGCUUGGAUUACAGGAACAGUAGUGUCCUUAGCCACAGUACAGUACUCAACAUCUUCCUCAACAAAAUACUCUAUAUCAGAUGGAAUGUGAUGGUUGCCUCCAUGGGACAAAGUAGGCUCUCCUGUGAAACAUCAAAUAAGGAAUAUGAAGAUUUCAUAAUUUUUGUAAAGAUGCAAAUAAAUUAUGCUCAAAGUUGAGAAGGAAUAGAAUAAAAUAUGUAAUCAGAAUCCA
rnacentral:lncRNA from 13 species